rnacentral:rRNA from 1 species
CACGUAGGGUGCGAGCGUUGUCCGGAAUUAUUGGGCGUAAAGAGCUCGUAGGCGGUGUGUCGCGUCGGCCGUGAAAACCUGCAGCUUAACUGUGGGCGUGCGGUCGAUACGGGCAUCACUGGAGUUCGGCAGGGGAGACUGGAAUUCCUGGUGUAGCGGUGAAAUGCGCAGAUAUCAGGAGGAACACCGGUGGCGAAGGCGGGUCUCUGGGCCGAUACUGACCCUGGAGGAGCGAAAGCCGUGGGGAGCAAACAGG